UCUUAUGUGUAAGCAAAGAAAGUGGUUUCUUGAGAUGGAAUCUAUUCCCAUUGAAAAUGCUGUGAA
rnacentral:pre_miRNA from 1 species